UGUGUGCCUCCGUGUUUUUUCACGGUCCCAUUGACUUGAAUGGGACAGGUCAUAUUUUUUUGACGGACUGGAACCACAGAUGACGGAUGCGGGUGACAAACGGUGCUUUAGCCGAGUUUUUAACGGACCCAUUGAAAGUCAUUGGGUCCGCAGAAAAUCACG